rnacentral:rRNA from 1 species
AUUGAACGCUGGCGGCAGGCUUAACACAUGCAAGUCGAGCGAGCGGCGGACGGGUGAGUAAUGUCUGGGAAACUGCCUGAUGGAGGGGGAUAACUACUGGAAACGGUAGCUAAUACCGCAUACCAUCAGAUGUGCCCAGAUGGGAUUAGCUAGUAGGUGGGGUAAUGGCUCACCUAGGCGACGAUCCCUAGCUGGUCUGAGAGGAUGACCCGCCAACAUGGAAAUUAGACACGGUCCAGACCCCUACGGGAGGCAGGAGGGGGGAAUAUUGCACAAUGGGCGCAAGGCCGAUGCCGCCAUGGCGCGUGUGUGAAGAAGGCCUUCGGGUUGUAAAGCACUUUCAGCGAGGAGGCGUUACUCGCAGAAGAAGCACCGGCUAACUCCGUGCCAGCAGCCGCGGUAAUUC